rnacentral:rRNA from 1 species
UACGUAGGGGGCAAGCGUUGUCCGGAAUCAUUGGGCGUAAAGAGCGUGUAGGCGGCCUGGAAGGUCAGCUGUGAAAACUCGAGGCUCAACCUCGAGACGUCGGUUGAAACCACCUGGCUAGAGUCCGGAAGAGGAGAGUGGAAUUCCCGGUGUAGCGGUGAAAUGCGCAGAUAUCGGGAAGAACACCCGUGGCGAAGGCGGACUCUCGGAUGGCCAGUACUGACGCUGAGACGCGAAAGCGUGGGGAGCGAACAGG